rnacentral:rRNA from 1 species
GAUGAACGCUGGCGGCGUGCCUAAUACAUGCAAGUCGAGCGAACAGACGAGGAGCUUGCUCCUCUGACGUUAGCGGCGGACGGGUGAGUAACACGUGGAUAACCUACCUAUAAGACUGGGAUAACUUCGGGAAACCGGAGCUAAUACCGGAUAAUAUAUCGAACCGCAUGGUUCAAUAGUGAAAGACGGUUUUGCUGUCACUUAUAGAUGGAUCCGCGCCGCAUUAGCUAGUUGGUAAGGUAACGGCUUACCAAGGCAACGAUGCGUAGCCGACCUGAGAGGGUGAUCGGCCACACUGGAACUGAGACACGGUCCAGACUCCUACGGGAGGCAGCAGUAGGGAAUCUUCCGCAAUGGGCGAAAGCCUGACGGAGCAACGCCGCGUGAGUGAUGAAGGUCCUCGGAUCGUAAAACUCUGUUAUUAGGGAAGAACAAAUGUGUAAGUAACUAUGCACGUCUUGACGGUACCUAAUCAGAAAGCCACGGCUAACUACGUG